rnacentral:rRNA from 1 species
UACGGAGGGGGCUAGCGUUGUUCGGAAUUACUGGGCGUAAAGCGCACGUAGGCGGCUUUGUAAGUUAGAGGUGAAAGCCCAGAGCUCAACUCUGGAACUGCCUUUAAGACUGCAUCGCUUGAAUCAUGGAGAGGUUAGUGGAAUUCCGAGUGUAGAGGUGAAAUUCGUAGAUAUUCGGAAGAACACCAGUGGCGAAGGCGACUAACUGGACAUGUAUUGACGCUGAGGUGGCGAAAGCGUGGGGAGCAAACAGG